UACGUAGGGUGCGAGCGUUAAUCGGAAUUACUGGGCGUAAAGCGUGCGCAGGCGGUUUUGUAAGCCAGGUGUGAAAUCCCCCGGGCUCAACCUGGGAAUGGCAUUUGGGACUGCAAGGCUGGAGUGCGGCAGAGGAGACUGGAAUUCCUGGUGUAGCAGUGAAAUGCGUAGAUAUCAGGAGGAACACCGAUGGCGAAGGCAGGUCUCUGGGCUUUACCUGACGCUGAGGCGCGAAAGCGUGGGGAGCAAACAGG
rnacentral:rRNA from 1 species